AUGAACGAUGCACUUAUGCUGCGUUGGGUUUGGCGGAUCUUGCGGGGAGAUGGAGGUUUCUGGCUGCAGCUGAUUGAGUCCAAGUACUUGCAGGGACAACCCCUCCUGGCUUGCUCUCACUCAGCUAGGUCCCAGUUCUGGAAAUCUAUUCAGGCCAUCAAGGAAGAGAUUAGGCUGGGUUUGCAUUUCUAGGUUGGCAAUGGGGCUGGGACCCAGCUUUGGUUGGACCCCUGGAUGGAGGGCGAGCCUCACCGCUUGCGUUCCCGAGGCUCUUUGCGAUUUGUGAUGACCCAGCCAUCCUUGUUUCUGUGGCUGCUUUGGAUGACGGAUGGUGAUGUCUACUACGCAACCUUAUCCUUGUAG
rnacentral:rRNA from 1 species